rnacentral:rRNA from 1 species
UACGUAGGGUGCAAGCGUUGUCCGGAAUUAUUGGGCGUAAAGAGCUCGUAGGCGGUCUGUCGCGUCGGCUGUGAAAACUCGGGGCUCAACCCCGAGCCUGCAGUCGAUACGGGCAGGCUUGAGUGCUGUAGGGGAGACUGGAAUUCCUGGUGUAGCGGUGAAAUGCGCAGAUAUCAGGAGGAACACCGAUGGCGAAGGCGGGUCUCUGGGCCGUAACUGGCGCUGAGGAGCGAAAGCGUGGGGAGCGAACAGG